AUGGAUACUAGUCGGGGUCUUAACCCACUGAGCCAUAACGGGAACCCCCCAGUGGAUGCUUCCUGGUGGUCUGCAGUUACCGUGUUGAACGCAGACCCCCGGGAAAGGGCAGCCACAUGUCCACUUGGGUUACACACAGGUUGUACCAAACAUUAUGCCCAAGGGAGAGCCUCCGCCCAAGCCCCGGUCCCUCCUCACCCGCCCGUCACCUUGUCUGGAGCGCCUGCGGCAUCUCCUGGUCCAGCAGCGUCCGUUUUCAAGUCACCCUCGGGCAGCUUUCCCACGGGCUCAGUCCUCUGGACCGCCACUCUCAGGCUUUUCUGCUUCAUGCCCAGGGGGUCGGGCAGGUCCCCUCUCUCCCUGGGGGCCGCCCUCUGCCUCUUCUGCAGUGGCUUCUCGUCCCCGGGCUCCUGCACGGCCGUCUCGGGGCGCAGCCUCUUCCUCCCUGAGGCCCGGCCGGCCUCUCCCUGCUCCCUCUGGGGGGAUGCGUGGCUUUCACUCGGUGAUGUGCCCCCAGGGUCUUCCGUGGAUCUGACUUUAGAGGCCCUGAGGUCACUUCGGGAUGUUUCUGCAGGCCGUCUUCUGCCUGCUGUUGGCCUCAGGGCUGUCUUAACGUGGGCAGCAUCAUUUCCCAGUCCCUUGGCCUGCUCUGGCCUUGGGAAGGGCUCCUUUACACUGCCCAGGCCUCCCGGUGGCUGGGCCUUUUCCUUAUGUGAUCUCAGCCGACUCUUGGUACCGACAACCUCAUCUGCUGAGUCCAGGUUCGGCCCCGAAGUUUCCUUAAACACUGCGAUGUCUUUCUCAUCAGCUGCCAGUUCUGACCCUGUGGGUCUGGUUUCCCUCGCUGCCCGGGUGGGCUUCCUGGGCGCUGACGGCCCUUCUGCGUCCACUUCCCCUGGUGGUGACCGGAGCCGUCUCUGUCUGGUUGUCCGCCUGGUAACUGGUUCUGCUGGUGGAGAUGUACAGGGCAUUUUGGUGGGUAUGUCAUCAGCCACAGGGUCCUUGGCACGAUGUGGGGUUUGGAAGAGCUCCUGGAAGCCAGCCAGGUCUUCCAGGGGUGGGACUUUCUCCCUGAGUGUUCUCCUUGGUCUCUUCUGUUCUCCGGCUACAUUUUCUGCUGAGUCCAGUUUCUGCUUUAGCCUUUUCUUAAAUGCUUUGUCUUCCUCCUCAGCUGCUGGUCCUCUGUCUGAGUGCCCGGCUUCCUCUGGUGUCUGUCUGGGCUUCCUGGGUGCUGAGAGCUCAGCAUCUGUGCCCACCUUCUGGGGAGGGGUUCUGAGCCCUCUCUUUCCACUUGCUGGUGUGUUGACUGGUUCUGUUGUGGGGGUUUUGUCACCGGUCACUGGGUCCUUGGCGUGA
rnacentral:lncRNA from 1 species